ACUGGGUGCAGUAAUGGGCACCUGUAGUUCCAUCUACUUGGAAAGCUGAGUUAAGAUUGCUUGAGCCCAGGAGUUCAAGACCAGACUGGGCAACAUAGCGAGACCCCAUCUCAA
rnacentral:sRNA from 1 species